rnacentral:rRNA from 1 species
GACGAACGCUGGCGGCGUGCCUAACACAUGCAAGUCGAACGGAGUUAAGACUUCGGUUUUAACUUAGUGGCGAACGGGUGAGUAACGCGUGAGAAACCUGCCUUUCAGUGGGGGACAACAGUUAGAAAUGACUGCUAAUACCGCAUAAUGUUAUUUGGGGGCAUCCCUGAAUAACCAAAGCUUUAUGUGCUGAAAGAUGGUCUCGCGUCUGAUUAGCUAGAUGGCGGGGUAACGGCCCACCAUGGCGACGAUGUCUAGGGGUUCUGAGAGGAAGGUCCCCCACACUGGAACUGAGACACGGUCCAG